rnacentral:rRNA from 1 species
AUUGAACGCUGGCGGAAUGCUUUACACAUGCAAGUCGAACGGCAGCACGGGUGCUUGCACCUGGUGGCGAGUGGCGAACGGGUGAGUAACAUAUCGGAACGUACCCAGUAAUGGGGGGUAUAACUAGUCGAAAGAUUAGCUAAUACCGCAUACGCCCUGAGGGGGGUAAAGCGGGGGAUCGUAAGACCUCGCGUUAUUGGAGCGGCCGAUAUCUGAUUAGCUAGUUGGUGGGGUAAAGGCCUACCAAGGCGACGAUCAGUAGCUGGUCUGAGAGGACGACCAGCCACACUGGAACCUGAGACACGGUCCAGACUCCUACGGGAGGCAGCAGUGGGGAAUUUUGGACAAUGGGCGCAAGCCUGAUCCAGCCAUUCCGCGUGAGUGAAGAAGGCCUCGGGUUGUAAAGCUCUUUCGCAAGGGAAGAAACGAUACGAGCGAAUAACUCGUGUUAAUGACGGUACCUUGAUAAGAAGCACCGGCUAACUACGUGCCAGCAGCCGCGGUAAUACGUAGGGUGCGAGCGUUAAUCGGAAUUACUGGGCGUAAAGCGUGCGCAGGCGGUUUUGUAAGUCAGAUGUGAAAUCCCCGGGCUCAACCUGGGGAACUGCGUUUGAAACUACAAGGCUAGAGUAUAGGAGAGGGGGGUAGAAUCCCACGUGUAGCAGUGAAAUGCGUAGAGAUGUGGAGG